ACAUUUCUGCCUAAAGAGAGGCUAGUUUCAAGCCAGCAAGUACAUUUCCAGGGAAAAAAACAUCUUUAUUAAUGUAUCCACUGUGCUGUGGCCUCUUUUCUGAAGCUUGUGGCUGAGCUUUUCAAGAGCUGUAAACAUCCAGAUGUCUCCCAUCUUGACCCAGAGAGCUUCCUGAGAAGCUUUCCUAGCUCGCACUUUUGUGGUUCAUAGCUGUGACAUGAAACAUCUUUCACAAUGGAAAAGAAAAUCCCUUCAUGUGACCAUCAGGUCAACACUCUGUGGAUCAUUAGGCAGCCCAGCAUAGGAGCACUGUUUUGAGGAACACAGUGGAGAGCACAGUAAUGGACACUUCUGAUCUGGCGUAUCCUAAAUACUGAAUACUUGGAUAAUUUAUGCUUCUGCAUACAGUCCUUGGUGAGAGAACAAAACAAGAUCUGAUAAUGUUUCUCUUAAGCAAGUCUCAACAAAAGCAUAGCUCUUGUUUGACAUGCGACAAGGCUGCUGUUUAUUCUUUUUUGGAGGCUUCAUAUGAAUUUUUGUAGUCUUGGGUUAUUGCCCUGGGAAAUGGAAUAUAAUUUGAGUGACUGAACACACUGUCUUUAUUUUGACUUCGAGAAGGAUUGGGUCUAAAAAACAAAGAAGCUUCCAUGCAAGCAGCCCAGACAAGGGUAGCCUUUUCCAUCCAAGCAAAUUGUGCAGCAGGAACGAGAUCUACAAACAACAAUUAAAAACCCUGAUGAUGACUGCAAGCUGUACAUUCUUAUUGUGCUGAUGGUUUAUGUGCUCUUUUACUCUUUUCACGUUUUCUCAGACAGCAAGAAACCCUGCUCAGUAGCAGAAAGGUUACACAAGCAAAGAUGAGAAAGAUGCUGGAGAGCUUCAGAGGGGGUGAGCCAUCAGAGCAACCUAUAUGGAAGAGCAAAAGGUCUGUGAAGGAUAACUGAGGCCACUACACAUGAAUUCCUCCACUGGAGGGGUGUGACAGAGACAGAGAGAGAGCUCUGUAUGUGUUGCAGUCACUUUGAGAGAGUUUCCCAAUUUUCCUCCCCCAGCUGCAUAUCAAGACCAGAAGACGCAGGACCCCAGUAGACCAAGCAUCUCCAGCAAUCUCAUGGCUGCGGACACUUCUGGGACUGAUGGCUGAUAUGAACAAAUAUUUAGGAGAUUAAAAACCCUCUCUGUGUAUAAACUUGGAGCUCAGUGAGGUAAAUGGGGAAGCUGGAAUUCACAAACAUCACUGCCAGUCCCAUGAACAGUUGAAGUCAACAGGUCUGAAACUCUCCUCAGUGUGUAUGAAACCGACUGUGCAAACACUAAACAGUCACUUAAAAUGACAUUUGCAACUUAGAGGUAAGAAUACUUACAGAAAUUAUUCCAUUUGAGCAAAUUCGCCUUUCCCAGAAAGACCCUACUGAGUCACUUGAAACUUCAUAUCUGACAAGGGAGAGGGAAAACCAGCUAAGAGCAGCCUGAAGCAACUAAGAUCACUUGGUCAAGUGCAAGAUCUGGGUUGUGACAACAAAAGGGGCUGUUAUGUGGCAACUGAUGAGAAGCAGGAACGUGUUUGGCUUACAGCAGCACUAAAGUAAACAGGAAAUUGCACACAGAAUCUGACCCUCUCUUCAGCCUGUUUUUUGAAGAAUUAGAAGCUUCUUCCUGUCUCUGAGCACAAAAGCAGUUUUUCCAGCCUUCAGUUCAUCUUGGCGACUCUUUGCUGCAGGCUCUGUACCCUCGCAAGUCCCUUUGAAAAUCAGGACACCAGAAUUACUUGCUGGUAUCUAUGUUGACAACGGAGCUAAAUUUAAUUCUCUGCUCCUCUGAUUAUAUACCCAGGAUCUAGGCUGCUGGCAAUGCCCCAGGUAACUGCUGCUCCUUGUCUGGUGUCACCUCUUGAGCUGCCAUAAGGGAGUUGUUAUUCCUGAGGAUCCUGUUGCCCACCCCAUGACGAUGGCCUGGCUUUUGUCUUGUGGCUCUUUGAUGUGCAACCCCAUUUGGCCAUGGCAUCACAGCACGUUUUGGCUGUAACCCCACACUUGGUGCAGGGCACACCCAGAACUGCUCAUGGAUUCCCCAGUCUGGAGAUAAGGGUUGAAGCUCAGAUUCAGUGAGUGAUGGAAGUUGUUCUGCAUCACUGUUCCUUCCUCAUCAUUGUGCAUCUCUUUAUCAUUUAUCCAUGUUGCUAGGAAUAAUUUUUAUAUACUUCUCAACUGAGAAAGUUCAACUCUUAAUAUAAAUCCCUGCAGAACAAUACUAGAAAUGACCCCUUGACAAAUAAUUUAAUAGCUUAAGACAUUUAGUGUGUUGUAUUGGUAGCGCUAGCCCAUGUGUCACACAGGACUCCUGUAAGGAGAAUCCAAGAGUAUUUCUUCUUCUGUCAAGCUCCUUUAUCAUGCAAACUGGUAAUCUUGUCAAGAAAGGAAAGACUUUUUUUUUUUACAAACAGAUUGAUUUUCCAUAAAGCUAUGUGGAUCAGCAUUAAUUAAACUGUCUGACUCUGCUGCUUCUUCCGUUUUCAAGGCCUUUUGUUAUUUUUUAUUUGCUAAUGUCUAAUGUCAGGCUCAACAGCUGAAAUCAGGCUGCUGCUGACACAGAAUCAGCAUGUUCCCACGCUUCUGGGAUUUGUAUGAUGCUCUGAGAUCUCUACAAAAUUACUAUCAGAAGAGGUCAUUUUUCUUUUUUGCUAACACUAAUAAAAAUCCUCACUCGUAUUGAAUAGUUUGUCAUGUCCCUCUAGCAAUCGGAUGGUAUUGCAGAUAGUAUUUUGCUCCUGGUAGAUGGAAAACAGGCUGUCCUUCUCAGCACAGCCAGCCAGCACAGCACCCUGUCACCAGCAGUGCACAAAAGCAAUA